UACGAAGGGUGCUAGCGUUGUUCGGAAUCACUGGGCGUAAAGCGCGCGUAGGCGGUUAAUCAAGUCAGGGGUGAAAUCCUGGGGCUCAACCUCAGAAUUGCCUUUGAAACUGGUUGACUGGAGUAUUGGAGGGGAGUGUGGAAUUCCUAAUGUAGCAGUGAAAUGCGUAGAUAUUAGGAGGAACACCGGUGGCGAAGGCGACACUCUGGACAAUAACUGACGCUGAGGCGCGAAAGCGUGGGGAUCAAACAGG
rnacentral:rRNA from 1 species